rnacentral:lncRNA from 1 species
GCAAACUAUGGUCAGAAGCGAGGGAAGUGGCGGAGAGGGCUGGGUAGCGGGCCGGCCAAUGGGGGCCCGCGGGGGUCGGGAGGGUUCUCAAAGAACGGAGGGGCUGAAAAGGGGAAGAAGAGAGGAAGGGGGACGGGGAAGGCGACGCGGCCGCUGAUUGGACCGUUUGAAUGAGACGCCGCCACGGCCCGGCAUACGCGCGGGCGCGCCCUGACGCUGAGGAAGUCGCGCACGCGACUAACGGUCUUCCUGGGGGCCGGAGCGUGGCGAGGGGAGGCGGGACUCGGGGUUUUAAACGCGUGAUGGAAGGCGCUCGGGCCAAUAGGGAUGCGCUUUAGUGACUGGUGGGUCACGAGACUCGCAUGGGCCAAUGACUGAUAGAGACCGGUCAGAGGGCGACCCAGUUUCGUGCAGAUCAAACCGCUGCCAGCCAACGAAAUCCGUUGAUUUUUGUAUAUGCAAAUGAAGUGUGCGCUGCCGCCCGCGCCCCCUCCUUUGAGCCGUGGUGGAGGUGGGCGCUGGAACUCCGACUACAUUUUUCUAUGAGGCGCCAUUUUGUGCUGGAAAUGCUCUUGGACCCACGUCCUGUAUUGCUAAGGCUCAAAGAUCAGUCAGAAUGACCUUGAAGGCUUGGACAGCCUUGCACUCCGUGUGUGACCCCCACUCCUGCCAGGCUUCAUCGAAGACGCCAGCCUCAGUUUCCUUAUGUGACAAAUGGGCACUGGGAUCCGUUGUAUUGCCAGGGAAAGAAGUCAGAGAGUGCCAAGACGGUUAUUCACGGCAUGGUUAUGCCUAUGACUGACCCAUGGCCUCCAGCCACACCCGCCUUCUCUGGGACUCAGUUUCCCUCUCUAGGAAAUGGACACAUAGCUGCCUGGAAAAGGGACCAUCUCCAGCCCUCAGUGUCAGUAAAAACGUCAGGCAAUUGCUUGAGAACGGUGGCCAGAGCUCCCUGAGCAGGCCUUUUGGAGGGGCUUAGAGAGGAGGAGGGAAUGCUGAAGUUGGCCUUCCUUUGCUCAUCUGUGCAGUGCGGUCGCAGUGCCCUCUCGGUGUCUCUGCCAGUCUGUGCGUCCACAGCUCUUCUUAGUUUCUUGGCCUUUUUCAGCCAUGGAUGAGAGCAUUAACAUCUGGGCCUAAUUUGGCCACAGGUACCUGAAAAGACCCCUGGCUACCAGCUUCCCCUCAUGGGGCCUCAGCUUCUGAAGAAGGAAUAAGGAAGGUGUGAAAGAAAUCUACAUGGCCAAGGCCAGGCGUGGUAGCUCACGCCUGUAAUCCCAGCACUUUGGGAGGCUGAAGCUGGCAGAUCACCUGAGGUCAGGAGUUUGAGACCAGCCUGGCCAACAUGGUGAAACCCCAUCUGUACUAAAAAUACAAAAAUUAGCCAGGUGUGUUGAUGCAGCCCUGUAAUCCCAGCUACUCGUGAGGCUGAGAUGGGAGAAUCGGUUAAAGCCGGGAUGUGGAGGUUGCAGUGAACUGAGAUCUCGCCACUGCACCCCAGCCUGGGCAACAGAGCAAGACCCUGUCUCAAAAAACAAAAAAGCAAAAAAAAAAAAAAAACCAAAAAACAAAACCUACAUGGUCGGGUACAGUGACUACGCCCAUAAUCCCAGCACUUUGGGAGGCCAAGGUAGGUCGAUCACUUGAGCCCAGGAGUUCAAGACCAGCCUGGGCAACAUAGUGAGAGACCCCCACCAAUAUGUACAAAACAAACAAACCCAAAACAACUGAAGAAACAGCUACAGCAUAAAAAGUCAUCAUCAUAACUAGUUUCGGGAGGGAUCACCUGUACCCUAAAUAAUCACCUGAAAACCGGGAAGGCAGACCUUUUCCAAAAAGGUUUUCCAAUGCUGUGGUCCAUUGGUCUCUGGUCCAACUCACUAAACUCUGCCCUUGUAGCUCCUAAGAAAACUAAUGGGUGUGUUUCCAAAAACAGGCAGUGGCCAAAGUAGGCCCCUGAGCUAUAGUUUGCUCCCUGCUUUACACAUAUCCCACGUGCCCCACCCCAGCUGAAAACUCAAGAGUCCUCCUCCCCACUACAUUUUGCAUAAGCCCCAGACUCCCCAAAAACCCAUAAGCCCUUGCACCAUCUCCUGAGGCUUCCUUGCCUUUUUCUGUUUGUUCCUGGAAUACGCCAAGCUUUUUACCCUGAGGACAGUUGGACAGGCAGUUCUCUGUGCCGGUCGUGCUUUUCCCCUUUCCUUCUUCUCAUCUCCUAGGUUUACCCUAACUCGUCACCCCUUCACGGCAGCUUCUCUCCUCUUUCCUCCCCUCCCAUGCUCUCUUUGCUUCAUCCUCUUUGAACUUCAUGAUCUAUCAGGAUUUGCAAUUAUUUGCCUGAUUGUGUGUUUGACUCUUCCCAACUAGAAGAUUAGCCCCAGCAGAGCAGGGAUCUUGUCCUCAGUCCCUAGCAGGGCGCCAGACAGACUGAAGAUGUUAUACAUUCAACCAAUAUUUAUUGAGCACCUACUAUGUGCCAGGCACCAAUCUGGGUGCUUGGGAUUUAUCAGAGAUCAGAUAGACAAAGAUCUUUGUCCUUGGGAUGCAUCAGAUAACAGAUAGACAAAGGGCUUACUGUAGUUGAGGAAGACAGAACCAAAAAUGAAACAUAAUAAAUAAGGAAAACAUGGUAUUUUAGAAGGAACUACAUGUUGUGGUAGGUAGGGAAUACUCUCUGUUAACCAUGUUUUUCCUCUGCUCUCAUGCCACAAUAAUCAACUGAUCUUCAAC